AUUGAACGCUGGCGGCAUGCCUAACACAUGCAAGUCGAACGGUAACAGGCCCUUCGGGGUGCUGACGAGUGGCGGACGGGUGAGUAACGCGUGGGAAUCUGCCCAAUAGUGGGGGACAACUCGGGGAAACUCGAGCUAAUACCGCAUGCGCCCUACGGGGGAAAGCGGGGGAUCUUCGGACCUCGCGCUAUUGGAUGAGCCCACGUCCGAUUAGCUUGUUGGUGGGGUAACGGCCUACCAAGGCUACGAUCGGUAGCUGGUCUGAGAGGACGACCAGCCACACUGGGACUGAGACACGGCCCAGACUCCUACGGGAGGCAGCAGUGGGGAAUAUUGGACAAUGGGCGAAAGCCUGAUCCAGCAAUGCCGCGUGGGUGAAGAAGGCCUGCGGGUUGUAAAGCCCUUUCAGUAGGGAAGAAAAGCUCGGAGCUAAUAUCCCCGAGUCUUGACGUUACCUACAGAAGAAGCACCGGCUAACUUCGUGCCAGCAGCCGCGGUAAUACGGAGGGUGCGUGCGUUAAUCGGAAUUACUGGGCGUAAAGGGCGCGUAGGUGGCCUGGUAAGUCGGUUGUGAAAGCCCUGGGCUCAACCCAGGAAUUGCAGUCGAUACUG
rnacentral:rRNA from 1 species